CCUACGGGGGGCAGCAGUGAGGAAUAUUGGUCAAUGGACGAGAGUCUGAACCAGCCAAGUAGCGUGAAGGAUGACUGCCCUAUGGGUUGUAAACUUCUUUUAUAUGGGAAUAAAAUGUUCCACGUGUGGGAUUUUGUAUGUACCAUAUGAAUAAGGAUCGGCUAACUCCGUGCCAGCAGCCGCGGUAAUACGGAGGAUCCGAGCGUUAUCCGGAUUUAUUGGGUUUAAAGGGAGCGUAGGUGGAUUGUUAAGUCAGUUGUGAAAGUUUGCGGCUCAACCGUAAAAUUGCAGUUGAAACUGGCAGUCUUGAGUACAGUAGAGGUGGGCGGAAUUCGUGGUGUAGCGGUGAAAUGCUUAGAUAGCACGAAGAACUCCGAUUGCGAAGGCAGUUCACUGGACUGCAACUGACACUGAGGCUCGAAAGUGUGGGUAUCAAACAGGAUUAGAUACCCCAGUAGUC
rnacentral:rRNA from 1 species